CCUACGGGAGGCAGCAGUGGGGAAUAUUGGGCAAUGGGCGCAAGCCUGACCCAGCAACGCCGCGUGAAGGCAGAAGGCUUUCGGGUUGUAAACUUCUUUUCUCAGGGACGAAGCAAGUGACGGUACCUGAGGAAUAAGCCACGGCUAACUACGUGCCAGCAGCCGCGGUAAUACGUAGGUGGCAAGCGUUAUUCGGAUUUACUGGGUGUAAAGGGCGUGUAGGCGGGACUGCAAGGCAGAUGUGAAAACCACGGGCUCAACCUGUGGCCUGAAUUUGAAACUGUAGUUCGUGAGUUAUUGAGAGGCAGACGGAAUUCCUAGUGUAGCGGUGAAAUGCGUAGAUAUUAGGAGGAACACCAGUGGCGAAGGCGGUCUGCUGGACAGCAACUGACGCUGAGGCGCGAAAGCGUGGGGAGCAAACAGGAUUAGAUACCCCGGUAGUC
rnacentral:rRNA from 1 species